UCAUUCAAGAGGGUACUACACUGAGCUAGGUAGAUAAUCUGACCUGGUAUCAGGGCACUUCUUAGGUUCAAAGGAAUCAUUGGUGUAGUUGUGAUGUGUGUGUGUGUGUGUGUGUGUGUGUGUGUGUGUGUGUAUGCAGUGGGUCUUCUUCACUCACUUAAUGCUACAGCCUCUCAUGCUCUUGAAAAGCCACUCUUGACAGUGAGGGGAGCUUUUGGAGCACUCUGCAAUAGUAAUAGUAAUUUAUUAUUUGUACCCUGCCCAUCUGGCUGCGUUUCCCCAGCCACUCUGGGCGGCUUACAGCAAAGAAUAAAAAUACAUUAAAAUAUCACACAUUAAAAACUUCCCUGAACAGGGCUGCAUUCAGAUGUCUUCUAAAUGUCAGGUAGUUGUUUAUCUCUUUGACAUCUGAUGGGAGGGCGUUCCACAGGGUGGGCGCCACUACUGAGAAGGCCCUCUGCCUGGUUCCCUGUAGUUUAGCUUCUCGCAGUGAGGGAACCGCCAGAAGGCCCUCAGUGCUGGACCUCAGUGUCUAGGCAGAAUGAUGGUGGAGAUGUUCCUUCAGGUAUACUGGGCCGAGGCCAUUUAGGGCUUUAAAGGUCAACACCAACACUUUGAAUUGUGCUCGGAAAUGUACUGGGAGCCAGUGUAGGUCUUUCAGGACCAGUGUUAUAUGGUCUCGGCAACCGCCCCCCUUCACCAGUCUAGCUGCCACAUUCUGGAUUAGUUGUAGUUUCCGGGUCACCUCAAAAGGUAGCCCCACGUAGAGCACAUUGCAGUAGUCCAAGCGGUAGAUAACUAGAGCAUGCACCACUCUGGUGAGACAGUCUGCGGGUAGGUAGGGUCUCAGCCUGCAUACCAGAUGGAGCUGGUAGGCAGCUGCCCUGGACACAGAAUUGACCUGUGCCUCCAUGGACAGCUAUGAGUCCAAAAUGACUCCCAGGCUGCGCACCUGGUCCUUCAGGGGCACAGUUACCCCAUUCAGGACCAGGGAGUCCUCCAUACCUGCCCGCCCCCUGUCCCCCCAGAACAGUACUUCUGUCUUGUCAGGAUUCAACCUCAAUCCAUUAGCUGUCAUCCAUCCUCCAAAUAUGGGGAAACAGCAGCAGCAGAAUGUAAGAAGAGCCUGCUGGAUCAAGCCAGUAGCCUAUCUAGUCCAGCAUCCUGUUCUCACAGAGACCACCCAGUUGCCUCUGGGAAAGCCUCAAGCAGAACCCAAGCGCAAGAGCACUCUCCACACCUGUGGUUUCCAGCAACUGGAAAUAUUAAAUCUACUCAACUCAACCGUGGAGGAAGAGCACAGCUAUCGUGGCUGAUAGCCUGGUUCUGCAUGAUUUGAAUCUUCUUUCAAAGCCAUCCAAGUUGGUGGCUGUCACUGCCUCCUUAUUUGUUGUGUAAAGAACACCAGAUCAAAUAAUCUAGACACACCAUACAUAACAAUGGGCUCACCCUUGGCAAAUCCAGAUGUAUUUCCCGAUAUCUGAGAGGGGGAAAUAAAUUUGAUUCAGUUUGCAUUUAAAGGGGAGCCUACCUAAGUCAUGCUUUCCAAGAAAAAAUAUGCAAAAACAUAGCUAUCCUUUGAAAUUUGCAUUUCUUUGAAUUUUGCAGUGUAGUUCUCCGCUCCAGGAAUGUGUACAAAAAUGCAUAUGAUGGGGUAAUACAUGCAUAGAAAUUUAUAUAUUAGUGAAAAUAACAUACAAAUGUGCAUUAUAUUUGGGGGAAAUUGCUUUGAAAGAGUAUGCAGAUUAGGUUAAAUUGCAUACAAAGAUGUGCUUGUUAGUAGAAAUUUGUACUAAAAUGAAUUUUCGUUAGGCCUUUUUUAAAAAUAAUAAUGUGGGAAUGUGGAGAACUUAAUUUAAGAUUGGAAAAAGGAGAAACAGUGAAAUCAAAUUGUCAGAUUUGCCCAUUGUUACAAGUAUCUUAAGUUAAAGGGUCUAAGAAAGCAAAUCCUGGGAGGACUUCUACCUGCGAUCCUCGAGAUCAUUUAUGUUAGAUGCUUCUUUCAUCUGAAUCAGUAAGAAUGUUAACGACUUGAUACUUUAUUUGUUCCUGCCUUUCCACUUACCAAAAUAGUGCCUAAAGUGACAAGCAACAAUUAAAUCAAAACAUUUAUAACCACCCCCGCAAAAGAAAGGAGGAACAUAAAACAUAAUUUAAACAGUUGGCUUGGAAUGGCAAAAGGAAUGGAAAUCCCCUCCAAACAAAACUGAUUUCUUGAUUUGGUUGCAGGGAUGGGAUUCACCAAACAAGUCCCGUCAGUGCAAGUUAGGGCUUCUUGCUUGCAAAGCAUUUUAUGGGGUGUUCACCAUAGCACAAUGCAAAACUCCCUGCAGGGUGUUUAUAUGUCUUCCCACUAAUUGUUUUUUCCACUCUGCACUUUCCAAUGCAUUUUCCCAUCACUUUCCUAGCAGCAAAAAGUCACCUUCCUUUGGAUUUGCUGUGGCGGAGCAUUAGAGCACUUCAAUCUGCUUUAAUUAUGAUUAUGAAUUGUUGUGGCCCUGGGAUUCCUAUUGCAUAUGAUGCACUCAAGGGGUUAGUUGGUUGGUUGGUUUAUUUUUGCAUUUAAUUGCUAUGCUGUUUCUGAAUCAUUGAAAGCAUCUGACUUUUGACACCUCAAAGGCAAGGGUCAGCUUGCAGUAAGCAUGUGUUCCGAUGUGCUUUAUUGCUAAAUUACAAAGAACAUGCAAUCUUUCAUUUUAUUCAAUACAAAUCAUUUUUUUUUUAUUUACUUAAAAGAAGGCAAGCUGUCUUAGUUAUAUGUGCUUGGCUUGGAAACAAAGGGAUUGUGUUCUUUUUUUAAGAGGUGCUUUAUGGUUGCAGAGAGAAAAUGUAGCCCUUUUAAUGGGACUUUAUAUAUGUGGGAUCCAUGUCUCCACUCGAUUAUAUAUUUCCAAAUAAUAAAUGGGUUUAUGGCGCAGUCAUAUCAUGAAAAUGUAUAGGGGUUGUGUGGGACAUGUGUUUCUGAAACCGGCAUGAAAAGUUUCCUUCUAUUUAAGAGGUGGGGUGUGGAAGGGAAUUUGCUUAUUUAUGAUAGCAGGAUGCACAGGUAUGGGAGGGGAUAUAUGGCUUUAUGAUGGGAAGCCUCUUCUCCAUUGACAAAUUCAGAUGGUUCAGGCACCCCCACCCUAAAUCCCAUGAACUUCCCCCCACCCUUAUAGUUUGGUUAUUUGUUGUAAUUACCAGGUCCAUUUUUGUCUUUAAUAGAUGUGAUUAGUAUAUUUAGCACCAUCUAAUGGGUUUUCUGCCUGGUUGCAUCCCAGCUAAUAUGGAAUCCCUCGGAGUACCUUCUGACAGCUGCUCAGAAUCCCAGGUUGGCGCAGUCGCUAGAGACUUCUUCCGCAAAUCAGCAACAUUAGGGGAAUUAACUCUGUUAGACUAACCAGAAAAUCCAGGAUGAAAUUUGAUUAUGAAUAGAUCUUGAAUUAACUUUGAGCAGCUCAAAAGACUUGUGGUCUUGGGUUUCUUUGAAUGGGAUUUUGAAAAAUAUCAGGGAUGGAAGUGAAUCUUAUGUUCAGUUCAAGACCGGAUUGAUCUUUAGGUGAAGCUAUAGAGCAGGGAUGGGGAACUUCUGGCCCUCCCGAUGUUGUUGGACUCCCACCAGUCUCAGUCAAUGUGGGUCAGGGAAGUUGGGAGUUGGGGUCUCAGCAACAUCUGCAGGGCCAUGGAUUCUCCACAGCUGUGGCCCUCCAGAUGUUGCCAGACUACAACUCCCAUCAUGCCUGGCCAUUGGCCAUGCUGGCUAGGACUGCCAGACAGAAACACACGCAGAAAGCGUGAAGCAGGCUGGUGAGGGGUGUGGACUGGGAGGGUCCAGAGUGCCAGAUAAUGAAGCUAGGAGGGCGACAUUUGGCACUGCCCCAGGCCCGAGGUUCCCUGCACCUAAUCUAACUUAAAGUCAGCUUCAUAGAAGUCCAUAACUUUGCCCACAGCCACAUUAGCAAUGACCUCUGCUAUUGUUUCCGCACAUUACUUUUCCUGCCCAUUCCUGAUCUUCUCACUUUUCAGUCUGCAGCACAUACUCUGGAGGUCCCAGCUGCUUCCUAUUUAUCCCAUCAAUGUCUUGAUUUGUAGUGCUGAAAACGCUGGGAACAAUUAGCAAAUUGGUGAUGCGCUGCCGCUCUGGAGUUGCUGGGCAACUGCAGCACCAGCAGACUCUCCAAGUCUCCGGAAGGGGGAUACAGAGACAAAAAGAUGAAAUUAACCCACUUUCUGUGACUUGGUUAGGAGACUAUAACGGCUGUCAAGUUAUAGAAAGCUUCUAUAAACCCAGCCCCAAAAUAAGCACUUUACUUACUCCACUUACAAGAAGGAACUAUGCAUAUAUAUCCAAGGUGAAGCAUGAGAUCUUUUUUCACAAUGGGAAAACAUUUACCACCCUUCAAAAUAUAAACUAAUAGCAAACUCCAAGCAUGUAUACUUUCGUAGCCAAAACAGCAGCAGCUACACAAAGGAGGGAGGUAUCAGCAGACUGUGAGGAGCCUGAAAUUUUGAACUGGUGCAAAAAAGGAGGGGACUAAUGGAGGA
rnacentral:lncRNA from 1 species